CCUACGGGAGGCAGCAGUGGGGAAUAUUGCACAAUGGGGGGCACCCUGAUGCAGCGACGCCGCGUGGGUGAAGAAGGGUUUCGGCGUGUAAAGUUCUGUCGUUAGUGAAGAAUGAGGACGGUACCUGAGUAGGAAGCCACGGCUAACUACGUGCCAGCAGCCGCGGUAAUACGUAGGUGGCAAGCGUUGUCCGGAAUUACUGGGUGUAAAGGGAGCGCAGGCGGGAAGGCAAGUCAGCAGUGAAAGCUACGGGCUGAACCGGUAGACUGCUGUUGAAACUGGGUUGCUUGAGUGAAGGAGAGGAUGGCGGAAUUCCUAGUGUAGCGGUGAAAUGCGUAGAUAUUCGGAGGAACACCGGUGGCGAAGGCGGCCAACUGGGC
rnacentral:rRNA from 1 species